rnacentral:rRNA from 1 species
AGAGUUUGAUCUGGAGCCGAUGAACGCUAGCGGCAGGCCUAACACAUGCAAGUCGAGGGGGAACGAUUCCAAGCAAUUGGAAGGCGACGACCGGCGGACGGGUGAGUAACGCGUUUGUAACCUACCUCUAACUGGAAGAUAGCCCGAAGAAAUUCGGAUUAAUACUCCAUAAUACUAUGAACUGGCAUCUUUUUAUAGUCAAAGCUUUGGCGGUUAGAGAUGGGCAUGCGUGACAUUAGCUUGUUGGUGAGGUAACGGCUCACCAAGGCCACGAUGUCUAGGGGGUCUGAGAGGAUGGUCCCCCACACUGGUACUGAGACACGGACCAGACUCCUACGGGAGGCAGCAGUGAGGAAUAUUGGUCAAUGAGCGAAAGCUUGAACCAGCCAUGCCGCGUGAAGGAUGACAGCCCUACGGGUUGUAAACUUCUUUUGUACGGGAAGAAACACUCCGACGUGUCGGAGCUUGACGGUACUGUACCAAUAACCAUCGGCUAACUCCGUGCCAGCAGCCGCGGUAAUACGGAGGAUGCAAGCGUUAUCCGGAUUUAUUGCGUUUAAAGGGUACGUAGGCGGAAAAUUAAGUCAGUGGUGAAAUCCUGCAGCUUAACUGUAGAACUGUCAUUGAUACUGGUUUUCUUGAAUACAGUUGAGGUAGGCGGAAUAUGUAAUGUAGCGGUGAAAUGCUUAGAUAUUACAUAGAACACCGAUUGCGAAGGCAGCUUACUAAACUGUUAUUGACGCUGAGGUACGAAAGCGUGGGGAGCGAACAGGA